UCUCUGAUAGCUUAGCUGGUUAAAGAAUCUGCCUGUAAAGCAGGAGACCUGGGUUCGAUCCCUGGGUUGGGAA
rnacentral:tRNA from 1 species